rnacentral:rRNA from 1 species
UACAGAGGUCUCAAGCGUUGUUCGGAUUCAUUGGGCGUAAAGAGCUCGUAGGUGGCUUAGUAAGUCGGGUGUGAAACCUCCAGGCUCAACCUGGAGACGCCACCCGAUACUGCUAUAGCUUGAGUCCGGUAGGGGAGCGUGGAAUUCCUGGUGUAGCGGUGAAAUGCGCAGAUAUCAGGAGGAACACCAGCGGCGAAGGCGGCGCUCUGGGCCGGUACUGACACUGAGGAGCGAAAGCGUGGGGAGCAAACAGG